UGGAUACUCGGUCUCCGACCCGGUGGUCCUAAGGCGGGUGCCUUGCCGCUAUGGCAACCGGGCGAUAGGGUUUACCUGGAAACGGGUAAGCCUCCCAUAUGGAAAGGAGCCGCUGGUAAACUGAG
rnacentral:ncRNA from 2 species